GCCGACCUGGCUCAGCAGGCAGAGCAACUGACCUGCAGUCAUCAGGCCACCAGUUCAAUUCCGGUAGUCGGCACCA
rnacentral:tRNA from 1 species